rnacentral:rRNA from 1 species
AUUGAACGCUGGCGGCAUGCCUUACACAUGCAAGUCGAACGGUAACAGGUCUUCGGAUGCUGACGAGUGGCGAACGGGUGAGUAAUACAUCGGAACGUGCCUAGUAGUGGGGGAUAACUACUCGAAAGAGUGGCUAAUACCGCAUGAGAUCUACGGAUGAAAGCAGGGGAUCGCAAGACCUUGUGCUACUAGAGCGGCCGAUGGCAGAUUAGGUAGUUGGUGGGAUAAAAGCUUACCAAGCCGACAAUCUGUAGCUGGUCUGAGAGGAAGAUAGGCCACACUGGGACUGAGACACGGCCCAGACUCCUACGGGAGGCAGCAGUGGGGAAUUUUGGACAAUGGGCGCAAGCCUGAUCCAGCAAUGCCGCGUGCAGGAUGAAGGCCUUCGGGUUGUAAACUGCUUUUGUACGGAACGAAAAGCCCUGGGUUAAUACCCUGGGGUCAUGGCGGUACCGUAAGAAUAAGCACCGGCUAACUACGUGCCAGCAGCCGCCGUAAAAC